AUGCUACCCUUAGCUGUAUGUUUAUGACACCGUGUCUAUCCAACUGUAGGAACUUUGACACCUACAAGCCGAUUGCUCAUGGCAUGGAUGAGAAGGGACAUGAAAGGGAUGCAGCAGUGCUGUGCUAAGAUCACAGAGCUGAGGCAGGUGUACCAGAAGGCAAGGGAAGCCAACCAUCACUCUGGUGUGAUACCAAAAACAUGCCGCUUCUACAAGGAACUGCAUGAUAUGCUCGGCAAUGACCCCCACGUCCACUACCAAAAGCCCCAUGGAUACUUCAGGGGGACUGAAGGCAACAGCAGAGUCAAUCUCAAGGACGAAGUGGUGGACAAUGAGGUCGAGUUGUAGGAGGAUGUAGGACAGGUGAAAGGCUCAUUUGGUGGCAUGGCAAGCCAGGAUCUCUUUUUGAGUCUGGAGAUGUCUAGCCAGUCCCAGCAGUCCAUCUCUGGCAUGCCAGAAGCAGGAGAGGGGAGCUCCAUUAAGUACUCAUUUUGCUUUAUACUGCAUGGUUACAUGAGGUAGAGGUAUCCUUUACUUCGUUACAUGGUGCACAAGGAACAAUGGAUCUACAUUAACAACACUAGGUAAUGUUUACAUCUGCUUCGCAUUUCUCUGUGCAGCUACGCAUUGGGGGCCCAGCAGAAAAGUUUAUGUACACCAAGAUUUCCCAGGAAUUCUGCAUAGAAAUCUCUAGGAAACUUUCUUGCAAAUAGUCUGCAAUCCUUUGCCAAAGGUUCCUUCACAGAGCUGCUUUCUUUCUUCCCCAUUGUAGGAAACUUUGCCAUGCCAGUCGGCAAUUACUUCUGGAGGAACCAAAGCAGCACAUGGGCGAGCAGCAUACAGACCUGAUCGGAAGCCACACACAUACAGGAAAUGCAUCCUUGGAUCUUCAGUUACCCUCAGUAGUGUGAUUUCAAGUUUGAUCACCGCCACCUGUGGAAAACAGUGCUAGUAGUCAGAAUAAUGUCCCCAGAUGUGCCUUGGAGGGCCAGCUUCUACAUGCUGGUGGAGUGCCUCCAUCAGAGAAGGAGGCAGUUGAGGAGGAGUAAAGAGGACAUGUUUCAUGAAUUGCUGCAAUCUUCAGAUCAGGCCAAGAGCGAGCACAGAGUGUGGAGAGAGACCAUAAAUGAGAAACUAAAAAUGGAUAGCCAGGAGAGGAGACAGGCUCAGGAGCAGGUUAAUAAAGCUUAUGCAGGACCAAACAGAUGCUGUGGUCCCUGACUGUGCUGCAGGCAGAACACGUGUGCUCAACUCCUCCUACAACCCAUACAGAACUGCCAUCCUUGCCUCCCUCCCCCAUUCCUCUCAUGCUCCUAGCCCUUCGCAGUACUCCUUGCACUCCAUCCCUAGCGACAUUUUCUAUAAUGACAGCUGGACUGACAUGCAGCUGUGAGAUCCUCGUGUCCCUUGUAAGAAAUGUUCAUCUGUAUUGCUGUUUAAUAAAAAUGUUGUCUUACAAAGACAA